UACGUAGGGUGCAAGCGUUGUCCGGAAUUAUUGGGCGUAAAGAGCUCGUAGGCGGUCUGUUGCGUCGGCUGUGAAAACCCGGGGCUCAACCCCGGGCCUGCAGCCGAUACGGGCAGACUAGAGUUCGGCAGGGGAGACUGGAAUUCCUGGUGUAGCGGUGAAAUGCGCAGAUAUCAGGAGGAACACCGGUGGCGAAGGCGGGUCUCUGGGCUGAUACUGACGCUGAGGAGCGAAAGCGUGGGGAGCGAACAGG
rnacentral:rRNA from 1 species